AUGUAUAUGUAUGUAUGUGUGUGUAUAUAUAUAUACACACACAUAUAUAUACACAUAUAUGUGUAUAUAUAUAUAUACAUAUACACACAUAUGUAUAUAUGUGUAUAUGUAUA
rnacentral:miRNA from 1 species